rnacentral:rRNA from 1 species
UACGUAGGAUCCAAGCGUUGUCCGGAUUUACUGGGUGUAAAGGGUGCGCAGGCGGACUUGUAAGUCAGGGGUGAAAUCUCACAGCUUAACUGUGAAACUGCCUUUGAUACUGCAAGUCUUGGAUCCAGAAGAGAGUUGUGGAAUUCCGAGUGUAGCAGUGAAAUGUGUAGAUAUUCGGAAGAGCACCAGUGGCGAAGGCAGCAACUUGGUCUGGUAUCGACGCUCAGGCACGAAGGCAUGGGGAUCAAACAGG